AAAGUCGUAACAAGGUUUCCGUAGGUGAACCUGCGGAAGGAUCAUUAGUGAACAAACCGGUGUGGCUAAGUCUGCUGGCCUUCUUGGAGGCAUGUGCACGGCCCGCCAUUGUUUCAUCCUCCUCCACCUGUGCACUUCUGUGGGUCCAAUCCAGUGCACCAUGUGUGCUGGGCUCUGGUACCUACGUUUUCACUACCCACACGAUUGAAUGUUCAGAAUGUAUGUAUCGGGCAUUCUUGCCCAUAAAACCUUAUACAACUUUCAACAACGGAUCUCUUGGCUCUC
rnacentral:misc_RNA from 1 species